rnacentral:rRNA from 1 species
AUGCUUCCGAAGUAUUCUUUUCUCCGCACUUUUGGUUGUGCAUGUUGGCCUAGUUUGCGUAAGUACAAUUCACGUAAACUCGAGUUUCGCUCUAGGAUGUGUGUGUUUCUUGGUUAUAGUCCCAUGCAUAAAGGCUACAAGUGCCUUGAUCGCUCCACUGGUCGUGUUUACAUCUCCCGUGGCGUCGUGUUCGACGAGACGUUGUUUCCCUAUGCCACUCCCGGUGCCACUGUUGAUGUAUCCCAACUCCUUCCCGUGUCGUUUUCGUCAGAUGAGCCAGUUACUCAGAGUACCGACAUGCGUAAUUAUGGCAUUACCUUGUUACCGGCUAAUGCACCUGGUGUUGUUGUUAGUUCUCCUGUGCAGGUCCCCGCGACAUCAACUUCAUCGCUCGAUGUCCCUGCUCCAUCAGCGCCACCGCCUCUGCAUGCCUCGGGCGGCACGCCAGGGGCCCGCUUGCAUGCAGGCACGCAGGCUGCUCCCGGAUCGGCACUGCCUCUGCAUGCCUCGGCUGGCACGCCUGGGCCCGGCUCGCAUGCAGGCACACCCCGCUCGCCCGGGUCGGCCUCUCGUGUUGUUUCUGGUGUCGACCCCGCCCAGGCCGAUACGCCGGUCCCGGUCGUCGACCACGACCCGCGGUCUCGCUCUCCGUCGCCAGCGCGGUCAUCUGCCUCGCCGGCUCCUGACGGGGCUUCUUCGCCUGGCCCGUCUCCGGCCCGUGACGAGGCCACUUCCUCGCCCUCGUCGACAUCCUCUACACCACCAGCGUCGCUGCCUCCAGCGCCUCCCGCUGCUGAACCGGCACGGGUCAUCGUCAUGCGACAGCGCAAUGAUAUCUCUCGUCCCGAGGUGUAUCGGGAUGGCACGGUUCGAUAUCCCUAUCGUCGUCAGGCUUUUAUGGUGGAGCCUCCAUCUCAUCGUACUGCUCUCUCUGAGCCAGCUUGGCGUGCUGCUAUGGAGGCUGAGUUUGAGGCACUUCAGGCUAACAAAACGUGGAUAUUGGUACCCCGUCCACCUAGUACUAACAUUGUUGGCAGCAAAUGGAUCUUCAAAACGAAGUUCCGUCCCGAUGGUUCUGUUGAUAAAUACAAGGAGAGGCUUGUGGCUCGAGGCUUCACACAGCAGUACGGUAUAGAUUAUCAUGAUACUUUCAGUCCUGAGCAGACUCUGCUGCAACUUCCUCAUCACAUGGCCUUUAGCAAAACAAGAGACAAAAUGUCAGGUGUCGUGAGGUAA